rnacentral:rRNA from 1 species
GACGAACGCUGGCGGCGUGCUUAACACAUGCAAGUCGAGCGGUAAGGCCCUUUCGGGGGUACACGAGCGGCGAGCGGGUGAGUAACACGUGGGUGACCUGCCCUCAGCUCUGGGAUAAGCCUGGGAAACCGGGUCUAAUACCGGAUAUGACUCCAUGACGCAUGUUGUGGGGUGGAAAGCCUCGUGCGGCUGAGGAUGGGCCCGCGGCCUAUCAGCUUGUUGGUGGGGUGANGGCCUACCAAGGCGACGACGGGUAGCCGGCCUGAGAGGGCGACCGGCCACACUGGGACUGAGACACGGCCCAGACUCCGUACGGGAGGCAGCAGGUGGGGAAUCUUGCGCAAGUGGGACGAAAGCCUGACGCAGCGACGCCGCGUGAGGGAUGACGGCC